GAGAAGACCAACUUGUGGUUCUCCUCCACAGGUUGGACCAACAACAGGUGGCUCUGGUCCAGGUUUCAGAGUUUAGAUGGAUACYGGUUGGUGACCCGAUCUCCUGGCAGGAGACGAGRAAGGACGUCCCUGCAGUCUGCAGAGACACAGAUCCUGGUGUCCACCUGAAACAGUCCUGUUCUGGGUGUUUGUGGGGAAGUCCAGCCUUCAGGAUUUCCUGCACGGCAGAAAACACAGCUGGAUCCUGGUUUCUGCACCGGACCUGGUCCAAAAAACACCUACCAUCCAAACCUGAGCUGGUCCUGAUCCAGAAUCAGUUCAGCUUUUAUCACCAAACAGUCAGACUUUCUUGUUCUUCAGGGUUUUUGAAGGUUUGUUUUUUCUCUCAGUUUCAGUUCAGAUGAAGGUUUUUGUUUGUUUAAGCUUUCUUUUUACCUUCGACCCCCGAAAAACUCCUGAACUCGAGAGAAGAACCACAGAACCAAAACCAGAGGACGUACAUCUUCUGUCAACGUAAAGAAACUAAGCUAAAAGCAGAACACUAGCUAACAGCUAAAAGGAGCUAAACACUACUUAGAAUAAAAAAAAAAACACUGGCUAAAAGCAGCAAAUAUUUAUCUAUAAUCAGGGUCGCACAUAAAAUUUUUGGUCUAGUUCUCAGGGGAGAACCUAGGGUUGUUGCUUGGUGCUCAUAUUUUCCUAACCUCAUUUAACUCAUUUAUGUAGACGGGUGUCAGAGCAUUUAUUAUUAUUAUGUUCUGUUUUAUGAUGCCUUCUAUCAGCUGCAAAGUCUCAGGACAUCACGCCAAAUCAGAGUUUUUUAUUUUGUUUUUUUACGCUGCAUACAUUUUGUAAACUACCUAAGCGGCCAAUGGGCUGACCCAUGGAAAUAUAUCAUCUCAAACUGAACAUUUCAUGUUUAACAUUUCAUGGGUGACAUUAAACAGACUCAUCUUUGCUUUGA